rnacentral:rRNA from 1 species
AUCAUUUAUCAUUGUUUUAGUAAGUGAGACUGAAUUAAACGGGUUAUUCGGCGAUAGUGAAAUGGUAGCGUGAGUGAAAGAUUAUAAUCAAUGGAAUAGCAAUGAUGAGUUCGUGUACCUUUUGCAUCAUGGGUCUACUACUUUUUAUUCCAAGGAAGUAGCCCGAAAGUACGAUGAGCUAUCCUUUUGCUAUGGGUUGGUGUGGGAUUAUCAUCCAGAGAUGGGGGGAUAGAAUGGCGAAAUACCUUUCGCAUCUGCUGAUAGCUGGUUAUUUCGGAAAUAUAUCUAAGUAUAGCCCUUUUUGGGGCGGGUUCUACAGUUCUAGUUCGCUCUGCUCUUGCAAGACUCUGCUCUCUUUUAGGAGACGGUGCCUCCAGGCUAAGCUGGGGGCAUACCUGUUAAAGAUAACUGGCGAAGCUUUGUGGCUUGGAAGUAGGUUUAAAGGAAUCAUCUUUACGGAGUGGGUUAUACCUCACAGGGGCCCUUGUUUUAAAUUAUAAUAAGUUUUUCUUUUAGUUGUACGGAAUCUUCUCACGAAACUACGGUAGUGGGAGUGAUAAUGUAGAUAUGAGUAGUCGCGGUAGGUGUAAGUGUUUUGAGUCUGCAGGGAAAAAAACACAAAAAUAAUUUUUACAAUGUUGGUAAACAAACCUUAAGGAACUCGGCAAAUUUGGGGACCGCCUGUUUAUCAAAAACAUGGCUUUCUGAGAAACAUGGGGGGUCGUGCCUUCCCAGUGGGUAUACGAGCCUAAACGGACGCGGUAAAUCGUGCUAAGGUAGCUAAAUUAUGGCCUAUUAAUUGUAGGUCCUGUGAAUGGUUUGACGAGUCCCCUACUGUCUCGAGGUUGUUUUGGUGAAAUUGAAUUGAACGUGCAAAUGCUUUCAUGGGGAAGAAAGACGAGAAGACCCCGUGAAGUUAGGAAUGCCUGCCAUAACGUGAAAUCCCUAUAACAGAUGUUAUUAGCAAUAUAAAUAUGCAAGGCUUGGGGUUCUUGUGUAGAAUUGUCGUUGGGAAGAAUGGUCAGUGCGUUUUGGCUGGGGCAGCAAAGAGGCAAAACUAGCCCUCUUUAUUCGAAAAACGGAUGCGUUACGACCCACAGGAAUGUAUGUUGUGACUAGCAGAAUGAGUUACUCCGGGGAUAACAGCGUAGUCCGCCUCGAUAGUUCGUAUAGACGGGCGGGUUCGCGACCUCGAUGUUGGCUCUGGGUAUCCUGAGGCUUGCAGGGGGUCUCAAGGGUUGGUUCGUUCGCCCAUUAAAACCCGACGUGAGCUGAGUUCAGAUCGGUGAAAGUUAGGUCGGUUUCUAUCUUCUUUCUUUUAAUUUUAGGCCGUAGGGUACGAAAGGACAUUCGGGUUUAGGAUGGUUUUCUGCUGUUAUGAAGGUAAAAUAAUAUAAAAAUAAGUAGGUAUGAUCAAGDYUU